AAUCCUACUNAUUCGGAAGCANGGAAUCNCNGUACGNNAUGGUAAUAUUGAGGAUACAGUGGGAAGCCCUUCUGACAGUGACUGACGNUGAGCACNAAGCGUGGGAGCAAACANGAUUAGAUACCCUGGUAUUCACGCNNNAACGAUGAGUGNUANGUGUUGGGGGACACACCCCAGUGCCGAAGNAACCCAAUAAGCACUCCGCCUGGGAGUACGGUCGCAAGACUGAAACUCAAAGGAAUUGACGGGGGCCCGCACAAGCAGUGGAGCAUGUGGUUUAAUUCGAAGCAACGCGAAGAACCUUACCAGGGCUUGACAUCCCUCUGACCGGUGCAGAGAUGUACCUUCCCUUCGGGGCAGAGGAGACAGGUGGUGCAUGGUUGUCGUCAGCUCGUGUCGUGAGAUGUUGGGUUAAGUCCCGCAACGAGCGCAACCCUUGAUCUGUGUUACCAGCACGUAGAGGUGGGGACUCACAGGUGACUGCCGGCGUAAGUCGGAGGAAGGCGGGGAUGACGUCAAAUCAUCAUGCCCUUUAUGUCCUGGGCUACACACGUGCUACAAUGGGCGGUACAACGGGAAGCGAAGCCGCGAGGUGGAGCAAAACCUAAAAAGCCGUUCGUAGUUCGGAUUGCAGGCUGCAACUCGCCUGCAUGAAGCCGGAAUUGCUAGUAAUCGCGGAUCAGCAUGCCGCGGUGAAUCCGUUCCCGGGCCUUGUACACACCGCCCGUCACACCACGAGAGUCGGCAACACCCGAAGUCGGUGAGGUAACCGUUAUGGAGCCAGCCGCCGAAGGUGGGGUUGAUGAUUGGGGUGAAGUCGUAACAAGGUAGCCGA
rnacentral:rRNA from 1 species